GAUGAACGCUGGCGGCGUGCCUAAUACAUGCAAGUCGAGCGAACGGACGAGAAGCUUGCUUCUCUGACGUUAGCGGCGGACGGGUGAGUAACACGUGGAUAACCUACCUAUAAGACUGGGAUAACUUCGGGAAACCGGAGCUAAUACCGGAUGAUAUAUUGAACCGCAUGGUUCAAAAGUGAAAGACGGUUUUGCUGUCACUUAUAGAUGGAUCCGCGCUGCAUUAGCUAGUUGGUAAGGUAACGGCUUACCAAGGCAACGAUGCAUAGCCGACCUGAGAGGGUGAUCGGCCACACUGGAACUGAGACACGGUCCAGACUCCUACGGGAGGCAGCAGUAGGGAAUCUUCCGCAAUGGGCGAAAGCCUGACGGAGCAACGCCGCGUGAGUGAUGAAGGUCUUCGGAUCGUAAAACUCUGUUAUUAGGGAAGAACAUAUGUGUAAGUAACUAUGCACAUCUUGACGGUACCUAAUCAGAAAGCCACGGCUAACUACGUG
rnacentral:rRNA from 1 species